GUUCGCGUAACUCAGUGGUAGAGUGUGAGAUUGCAACGCUUAAGCAUUGAUAUUGAUGAUGCUUGGUUUAUCUCGAAGCCCCGUGUUCGAACCACGGCGCGAACU